UACAGAGGUCUCGAGCGUUAGGCGGAAUCACUGGGCUUAAAGCGUGUGUAGGUGGAUCGUUAAGUACCUUGUGAAAUCCCACGGCUUAACCGUGGAACUGCUUGGUAUACUGGCGGUCUUGAGCCAGCUAGGGGCUACCGGAACAAAUGGUGGAGCGGUGAAAUGCGUAGAUAUCGUUUGGAACGCCAAUGGUGAAAACAAGUAGCUGGGGAUGCGCCGACGCUGAGACACGAAAGCCAGGGGAGCGAACGGG
rnacentral:rRNA from 1 species